GAUGAACGCUGGCGGCGUGCCUAAUACAUGCAAGUCGAGCGAACAGACUAUGACCUUGCUCCUCUCACGUUAGCGUCUGACUUGUGAGUAACACGUUGAUACCCUACCUAUAAGACUGGUAUAACUUCGUGAAACCUGAGCUAAUACCCUAUAAUCUCUUUAUCUUCAUUGUUCAAUAGUUAAAGACUGUUUUUCUGUCACUUAUCGAUGUAUCCUCGCCGCAUUAGCUAUUUGGUAAGGUAACGGCUUACCAAGGCCACGAUGCGUAUCCGACCUGAGAGGGUGAUGGGCAAAACUGGAACUGAGAAACGGUCCAGAGUCCUAGGGGAGGCAGAAGUAGGGAAUCUUGGGAAAUGGGCGAAAGCCUGACGGAGCAACGCCGCGUGAGUGAGGAAGGUCUUGGGACGGUAAGACUCUGUGAUUAGGGAAGAACAAAUGUGGAAGGAAAAAUGCACGUUUUGACGGUACCUAAUCAGAAAGCCACGGCUAACUACGUG
rnacentral:rRNA from 1 species